rnacentral:rRNA from 1 species
CGAUUGUAGUCAUAUGCUUGUCUCAAAGAUUAAGCCAUGCAUGUCUAAGUAUAAGCAAUUAUACAGCGAAACUGCGAAUGGCUCAUUAUAUAAGUUAUCGUUUAUUUGAUAGUACCUUACUACUUGGAUAACCGUGGUAAUUCUAGAGCUAAUACAUGCUAAAAAUCCCGACUUCGGAAGGGAUGUAUUUAUUAGAUUAAAAACCAAUGCCCUCCGGGGCUCACUGGUGAUUCAUGAUAACUUCUCGAAUCGCACGGCCUUGCGCCGGCGAUGGUUCAUUCAAAUUUCUUCCCUAUCAACUUUCGAUGUUUGGGUAUUGGCCAAACAUGGUUGCAACGGGUAACGGAGGGUUAGGGCUCGACCCCGGAGAAGGAGCCUGAGAAACGGCUACUACAUCCAAGGAAGGCAGCAGGCGCGCAAAUUACCCAAUCCCGACAUGGGGAGGUAGUGACAAUAAAUACUGAUACAGGGCUCUUUUGGGUCUUGUAAUUGGAAUGAGUACAAUUUAAAUCCCUUAACGAGGAACAAUUGGAGGGCAAGUCUGGA